UGGGGGAAACCCUGAUGCAGCGACGCCGCGUGAAGGAAGAAGUAUCUCGGUAUGUAAACUUCUAUCAGCAGGGAAGAAAGUGACGGUACCUGACUAAGAAGCCCCGGCUAACUACGUGCC
rnacentral:rRNA from 1 species